rnacentral:lncRNA from 1 species
AAGCAAAGGAAGUAGGUUCUAACCAAUUUUUUUGUGACUAGGUUCUAACCAUUCUAUGCGGCCCAUGCUAAAAAAGAUGGGCGAUCUGUCGAAGGCUACCAAAGAAUAACCGGACCACAAGGUCCACAGCACUCAAGCACACAAAAUAGAUAGAACAAACUAAAAGCACAAAAUUCUUCACGUCAGAGCUGGUCCUCUAGAUAGAAAGAGUACCAUAAUUGGUAUGAAAGAACUUUUAUAUGAUCUUUAGCUUUAUACAGUACAAAAGAGAGAAAAAUAAAUUAAAGGUCCUCACUAGAUUUGGAAUGACCUUGUUGCAUGAGUCCCAAGAACCGAAAGUCCACAGAAACGAAUACUACUACCAGAUUUUUUUAAAAUUAUUUUAAGUCUAAUUAAUUUUAUAGAAGCAUAUAAUAUGAAAUAUAUUUUUAUAAAAAACUAUCUCUUUGAUGUAGUAAAUGUUAAUUUUAUUUUCUAGAAACAUCAGUCAAGUCAGGAUAGUUUGAUUUGGAAAAAAACAAAUCCAUUACAUUUUCAAGUUAUAGAGUUCAAAUUUACCCUACAAAUUUUGCAAUUAUAGGCGGUCACAUCGAGUGGGACCCACAUAAGACCUUGUACACCAUCUUCUCUUUCUCAUGUAAGGAUUACGUCUCUCGAAUGCAAAAAGAAAAAGGAAAAAAAGGACCAAUAGCUAAACCUCACGCGGAUGCCCCACUCGUUUCAUCUCCCCCAUCCAAGAUUCCCCCAUCGUAUCCUCCACCGUCGAGCACUCCCACACCACCUCAAACAUCCUUCCCCAUCCUGACCCUAAAUCCACGCUCAGAUCGAGCUCCAUCCCUGCAGAUCGUCUUCUUGUUGAUAUGCAGAUUUUUCACUGAGAUUAGGUAAGAGCUCUUCAUGUUGAUGUGGAAGUUGGGCUUCAUCUUCAUAAAGUUGAUCUUCCUAGAGAUGAGUGAUUUCAUCUUUCUCAUGUGCAGGUGCUUCAAUGAGAUCAAGUAAGAGCUCUCCA